CGGGGGACGCGCUUGCGCGUCCCGCCGGCGACCGGCGCACGGGUGAGUAACACGUAUGCAACCUGCCCCCGCCAGGGGUACAACCCUCCGAAAGGGGGGCUGAUACCGCGUACAUCCCCUGGGGGCAUCCCCGGGGAGGAAAGCCCUUUUGGGCGGGCGGGGAUGGGCAUGCGGCGCAUUAGGAAGACGGCGGUGUGACGGACCACCGUUCCGACGAUGCGUAGGGGUUCUGAGAGGAAGGCCCCCCACACUGGUACUGAGACACGGACCAGACUCCUACGGGAGGCAGCAG
rnacentral:rRNA from 1 species